GUGACCCUACGGGGGGCAGCAGUGGAGAAUAUUGCACAAUGGGGGAAACCCUGAUGCAGCAACGCCGCGUGGGUGAAGGAGCGUUUCGGCGCGUAAAGCCCUGUCAGCGGGGAAGAAGAAAGACGGUACCCGACCAAGAAGCCCCGGCUAACUACGUGCCAGCAGCCGCGGUAAUACGUAGGGGGCGAGCGUUAUCCGGAUUUACUGGGUGUAAAGGGAGCGUAGACGGCAGGGCAAGUCUGGAGUGAAAGGCAGGGGCCCAACCCCUGGACUGCUCUGGAAACUGUCCGGCUGGAGUGCAGGAG
rnacentral:rRNA from 1 species